GCGUCGGUGGUCCAAUGGUUAAGAUUCGACAUUCCCAUGCUCACUGUGGAAUAUAUCGAUAGUGUCAGCGUGUUAAAACACUGACUAUGUCGAGACCCGGGUUCGAUUCCCGGCCGACGCA
rnacentral:tRNA from 1 species